rnacentral:rRNA from 1 species
CAGUCGCCGCGGUAAUACGUAGGUGGCAAGCGUUGUCCGGAAUUAUUGGGCGUAAAGCGCGCGCAGGCGGAUAGGUCAGUCUGUCUUAAAAGUUCGGGGCUUAACCCCGUGAUGGGAUGGAAACUGCCAAUCUAGAGUAUCGGAGAGGAAAGUGGAGUUCCUAGUGUAGCGGUGAAAUGCGUAGAUAUUAGGAAGAACACCAGUGGCGAAGGCGACUCUCUGGACGAAAACUGACGCUGAGGCGCGAAAGCCAGGGGAGCGAACGGGAUUAGAUACCCGGGUAGUCCCUGUCUCUUAUACA